CGGCGGGCUAGGCGGGGGGCUACCCCUCCCCUGUACCACAAAUGGGGUCCACGGUGGGCCGAAAGCCUGCGGAAGGCGCUGGAACCGCACGUCAGGACCGGUUUCCGGCGUGGAUGUCCCGUCCUGCCGGGUCGGCGGCGGCGGGGCCCCGGCCGGAGGGUCGGGGAGAACCGCCCUCGCCUGGCGAACCCCCCAGGGGCGGAAGAUCGAGAAAAUCGAUCCGAAUCAGCAAGGGUAGUCAGGACGUUCGGCGCUGGCAGCCAACGGGAUGGAGCUCGGAGCCGGACACCGGCGCGCGGGGAAGGCGUCGACCGCUGGCAUGCCCGCCG
rnacentral:SRP_RNA from 1 species